CCUACGGGAGGCAGCAGUGAGGAAUAUUGGUCAAUGGGCGUAAGCCUGAACCAGCCAAGUCGCGUGAGGGAUGAAGGUUCUAUGGAUCGUAAACCUCUUUUAUAAGGGAAUAAAGUGUGGGACGUGUCCUAUUUUGUAUGUACCUUAUGAAUAAGGAUCGGCUAACUCCGUGCCAGCAGCCGCGGUAAUACGGAGGGUCCGAGCGUUAUCCGGAUUUAUUGGGUUUAAAGGGUGCGUAGGGGGCUUUUUAAGUCAGCGGUGAAAGUCUGUGGCUCAACCAUAGAAUUGCCGUUGAAACUGGGGGGCUUGAGUAUGUUAGAGGCAGGCGGAAUGCGUGGUGUAGCGGUAAAAUGCUUAGAUAUCACGCAGAACCCCGAUUGCGAAGGCAGCCUGCCAAGCCAUGACUGACGCUGAUGCACGAAAGCGUGGGGAUCAAACAGGAUUAGAUACCCCUGUAGUC
rnacentral:rRNA from 1 species